rnacentral:rRNA from 1 species
CCUACGGGCGGCAGCAGUGGGGAAUAUUGCUCAAUGGGCGCAAGCCUGAAGCAGCCACGCCGCGUGAGGGAUGACGGUUUUCUGGUUGUCAACUCCUUUUGGUAGGGGAGAUAAUGACGGUAUCUAACGCGUAAGCACCGGCUAAGUCCGUGCCAGCAGCCGCGGUAAUACGGAGGGUGCAAGGGUUACUCGGAAUUACUGGGCGUAAAGAGGGCGUAGGCGGGAUGGCAAGUCAGAUGUGAAAUCCUAGGGCUUAACCAUAGAACUGCAUUUGAAACUGGUAUUCUAGAGUAUGGGAGAGGUAGGUGGAAUGCUUGGUGUAGGGGUAAAAUGCAUAGAGAUCACGAGGAAUACCGAUUGCGAAGGCGACCUGCCAGAACACAACUGACGCUGAUGCGCGAAAGCGUGGGGAGCAAACAGGAGUAGAUACCCUGGUAGUC